AUUGAACGCUGGCGGCAUGCCUUACACAUGCAAGUCGAACGGCAGCGGGGGAGAAGCUUGCUUCUCCUGCCGGCGAGUGGCGAACGGGUGAGUAAUACAUCGGAACGUGCCCUGUAGUGGGGGAUAACUAGUCGAAAGAUUAGCUAAUACCGCAUACGACCUGAGGGUGAAAGUGGGGGACCGCAAGGCCUCAUGCUAUAGGAGCGGCCGAUGUCUGAUUAGCUAGUUGGUGGGGUAAAGGCCUACCAAGGCGACGAUCAGUAGCUGGUCUGAGAGGACGAUCAGCCACACUGGGACUGAGACACGGCCCAGACUCCUACGGGAGGCAGCAGUGGGGAAUUUUGGACAAUGGGCGAAAGCCUGAUCCAGCAAUGCCGCGUGUGUGAAGAAGGCCUUCGGGUUGUAAAGCACUUUUGUCCGGAAAGAAAUGGCUCUGGCUAAUACCUGGGGUCGAUGACGGUACCGGAAGAAUAAGGACCGGCUAACUACGUGCCAGCCGCCGCCGUAA
rnacentral:rRNA from 1 species